rnacentral:rRNA from 1 species
AGUGAACGCUGGCGGCAGGCCUAACACAUGCAAGUCGAGCGGCAGCGGGUCCUUCGGGCUGCCGGCGAGCGGCGGACGGGUGAGGAAUGCAUCGGAAUCUGCCCUGUCGUGGGGGAUAACCUAGGGAAACUUAGGCUAAUACCGCAUACGACCCACGGGUGAAAGCGGGGGAUCGCAAGACCUCGCGCGAUAGGAUGAGCCGAUGUCCGAUUAGCUAGUUGGCGGGGUAAAGGCCCACCAAGGCGGCGAUCGGUAGCUGGUCUGAGAGGAUGAUCAGCCACACUGGGACUGAGACACGGCCCAGACUCCUACGGGAGGCAGCAGUGGGGAAUAUUGGACAAUGGGCGCAAGCCUGAUCCAGCCAUGCCGCGUGGGUGAAGAAGGCCUUCGGGUUGUAAAGCCCUUUUGGCCGGGAAGAAAUCGUCUGGGCUAAUACCCCGGGCGGAUGACGGUACCGGAAGAAUAAGCACCGGCUAACUUCGUG